GCAUUUCUAGCAUGUAAGAUAAAUUAAAAUUUGAUGUGAUUCCAUACCUGAAAAUUUACACACCAAAAUGCCCAUGUAAUAAAUCAAGCAUCUAUGACCUUUCAUGCGCAACCACUAAUAUCUGAUUUGAUGCAUAUUGAAGAAGGUGAUAAUUAUGUUUUUUUUUUUUUUUGCUCAAGCCAUAGAAUAAGAUCAAAUGGAAUUUCACUUGCUUAAACUAAUAGAACUGUGCCUUUUUUCACAUAGUAAACAACAUACAGAGUUAAGAUAUCCAAUGCUCGACAAAUAAUUCCAGGUUGUCCAGAUUUACUUCUGAGCACCUAAAUCAACUCAAAAAUGCAUACCAGGAGCAGAAAAAAAAUCAUCAAAUAAUUUUGGCAACACCAACAAAUACUUUACUGCAUUGGUAUUGAAAACUGGCAUGAAACACAUGCUACAUGCAUCCAAAAGCACUGUGUUCUAUAAAUCAUCAGUCAAAAUAGAGAUGGAUUCUUGUUUUCUCCAUCUUAUUUACUUCCUAUUAUAUCCCUUCAUCACAGCCAUCCACGCUUUUCAUGUGCAUGGCACAUGAUAAACAACAGAUGCCUAAUGGGUGUUUUAUAUAUUAGUAAGAUCUAAAAGCAAAAAGGCAAAACAGAAAAAAUAGCAUUUCAGUGACCAAAGCAAAGGGAACUUAGUUUUUCUUGAUCCAAGAAAAAUCAUGUAUUAGUCUUUUACCCAACCACGGUUCACUAAAUGCCAACACUCUUUAAUUUAUAGCAGCAAUCUACAAGAUCUAAUUAAUAACAUUCCAAUUUCUAGUCUAAGUUGUCCCACCUUGCUCAUCCAGCAAGCUCUAAAAGCACAAUGGACAUCCUAGACCAUUACUAACAACAUACCAACAAUGCCUGCUUGUCUAUACAACUCCAAGCCAAUUGUCAAAGAUGUGGAAAAAGAUGACAGGAUCUACCAUACAUGCAUAUUAAAUUUCGAACUAAGCAAGCAAACAAAAUCCACGUUUACAUGAUGUUAUACAAGACUAGACUUGAAUUCAUAUUUUACAUUAGAACGUAGGCAAAAAGGGAAAAAAAAAAAUCUGAAUCUCAUUAAUUCUAGAGUAAGAAGACCAAAAUCAUUAUAUGCCAGUAUCAUAAUGAAGGGGAACAUCAGAAUCUACUCGUACUGACAACAUAAAGAAUUGCUUUCACUGAACAGUGAAUUGCACUUCAGCAUACAAUGUACUCACAUGAGAAAUCCUAAAUAAUCAAUUUAUCACGUAUGAGUGACAACUAAAAAUAUUAAAACCAUUUAGAACUAACCAAUAAGCUAUGUGACAAAUUUUAGCAUCACUGAGUAAUGAGUGAAGAAAAGCACCAAAAAUCCAACUAUUAAAUAAAUGCAAACAAGAGAUUCAGAAUCAGAUAAGGGGGCAAAACCUUUAAAAAGAAAAAGGAUCUGUGGAGUGUAUACCCUCCUAAAUAUACGAAAUUCACAAUUGUUAUUUGCAUGGUACCCUUAUAAAUUUGUGUGUUGGUAUUUCUGUUAUUUUAAUUUUAAACUGUUCAUUUCUCAAAAGCAUUACAUAGCAUGGGUACAUAUGCAAGAAAGAAAGAAAGAGAGAGUAUAUAUGCAAAACAAGUAUUUUAUGAGGAUAUACAAUGCAAAUAGCAACUUUGCGAGGAUAUUUAUAUAAUUUGGCAUAUUUAGGAGGGUAUACCCUAAGAAAACCCAAAAAACUGAACGCUUACUAAAUACCAGCUUCAGACACUUAAAAAUCCACUUUUUCCUUAAACUUAACGUUCAUCCGAUCAAGAAGAUGUUUCAUAAUCCAACUUUUCCCAGAAAAAACCCCAGAAAGUUCCCAAGUUUUAUCAAAUAUUUACACUAAAAUCCCCCAACAACCCUCUUUUUCGCUUCAUACAUGAAAACACAAGCAGUUCUGGUGCAUCUUGAAUUCUCAAAAGGGUCAGAAACGAGACGAUACCCCAUUUUUCGCCUCAACCGGGUGCUCAUCGUCGAUAUGGCAGAACAACCCCACGAUAUCAAAAUCCUCCGAGCAGAACGGACACGGAAACUCUGCUCUGGAAUCCUCAUCCCCUCCAUCGAUCUCCUCAUACCCACGGUACAAAUCUACAAACCAAAACACCCAAUCAAACCCCACUCUGAAAAAAAAAAAAAAAAAGGAACUCCGAACCCAGACAAUCGACAACCAGAUACUCAAUACUCACCGAAUCGGGAUUGGAGGACGGACUGAUGGCGCUUCGAGGCGGUGAAGAAACGGCUCCAGCAAUCAGCCUCCAUGGCUUCCUCCUCCCUCCGGUGUCGCCCCAAUUCAAGCUUCUAGUCCCCUGGAGAGCGAGUAAAAGCCCUGGAGACCAAGCAAGACAGCACCGAUCCCUCGUACCCUCGUAUAAAAUUCCCGAGGGCAAUAUAUAAGAGAGAGAGAGAGAGAGUUGCGAUUCCCUUCGGUAGAAAAAGGGGCGAAAGAGCUCGGCAAUUGCUUCCUGGGAAAGGCAAGGAGAGAAGAAGACGAGAGAGAGAGAGAGAGGCCACCGACCAGAAGGAUGGAGCAUUUAGAAAUAGAAUAAUCAGUCCCGGACGUUCUCCGAAGGAGGGGAAUGCUACCAGAUGCGUACACGUGGCGAGAUCCGGAAUCGUGGUGAGGAAUGCUCGCGGAUGUUCAAUGGAUAGCUGAUCCAAAGGGUGUGAUUCAGUUGGGUCGGAGCCGAGCGGGAAACGGGCAGUUAAGAUAGUACGCAUAAAUUUUAUGGUUGUGUUUUUAUGCGGGGAUCGAGAUCGGAACGAGAUGCAUCUACUGAGCGGUUUAGAUCAAAUCGGACGGUAGAGUUUACUUUUGCAUAGAUAUUAUCCACGAUAGCCGGUUUGCAGGGCAGUUUAUCUAUGCUUAGAUACGAACCCGAAAAGGAAGCGCAAGGAACGUCCGGGAAACGAUAGAGUGUUGUUUUCUUUGGUCCGCAGAGGGUUCCCAUGUACGUGUUUUCUCCAAAGAUUCAUUGUUGCGUGGAUGUAUGUUUGUGACCUUACAUUUGUGCAUUUAUUCAAGGAUAUUAGCUCAUAGGGUAAUCCGUCCUCAGCUGCUUUCGUAGCUCAGUUGGUUAGAGCACCCGUUUAGUAAGCGGGAGGUCUUGAGUUCGACUCUCAACGAAAGCAUCACCUUGUUCCUUCUUUUCUUUUGGUUCCAUGUAAUGUAAAUCUGAUUUAAUUUUGGACAGAGUAAUGCAAAAAACUUUCGUGUUAUGUUUUUGGUAUCUAUCACUUAAUUUAUGUAUCUAUCACUUAAUUUAUUUAGAAACCAUCAUACAAGGGGGGGAUACAGACUUUUCCUAAUUAAUAAAUCCUUUUCCUCCGAUAGAGCUUUUCUUCACAAUUUUUAUAUCCUUGACGUUUAACCCAAGCAUGUAAAAUUCGUAUGUAGGUAGAUAUUCUAUUUUAACCUGGUUUGCUGCUUCCCAUUCAUUGUGACUGCUAAUUGUUGAUUAAGCCAUACUUGAUUGAUGAAUUCGUGUUGAAUUUUUAGCGAAGGAAAAGAAAUCCUUGGUGGACUAGAUUCAUUAUUAUCUCUAUUUUUGAGAAAAUUAUUUUCAUACCCCAUACUUAAUUUCUUCUAAUAAAAUGGAUAUAAAUAGGGGAAAAGGUGGUUGUGUGUGUGAGAGAGAGAGAGAGAGUAGAUUCCGUAGAUUUUGGGUCAAAUUUCUAUUUCUUGUAGAUAUAAUAUCGAGGGCCCCUGCCUCUGCCAUUGUGUUCAGGUUUCUUGUUUUUUUUUUUUNNNNNNNNNNNNNNNNNNNNNNNNNNNNNNNNNNNNNNNNNNNNNNNNNNNNNNNNNNNNNNNNNNNNNNNNNNNNNNNNNNNNNNNNNNNNNNNNNNNNNNNNNNNNNNNNNNNNNNNNAGGUAGAUUCCAUAUAUUUUGGGUCAAAUUUCUAUUUCUUGUAGAUAUAAUGUUCAAGGGCCCUGCUUCUGCCAUUCUGUUUAGGUUGCUUGUAACAAUUCGCCCUGUCAAGUUUAUUUGAACUUAAAGGGCAUUGCCCCACCUCCUCUCUCUCUCUCUCUCUCUCACAGACGCACAAUGUCCAAUGGAUUAACCUUCUAUGUAUGCACUGCCCCACCUCUCUCUUUCUUAUCUCCAACCAUGGCUGAAGGGUUUUCUUUCUAGCUUUGUUCUAACCAAGAAAAUACAUAUACAUACAUGUAUGUAUGUAUGUAUUUAUAGGAACAUGUGAACCUGUUGGACAAAUCUAACAGAGGGCUUGACUUUGAUAUGGAAGUGAUGGAUACAAUUUGAAAGUCAUGCAAGAUCUUAUGUGGGUAUUCAUUUCUAUAUGACUUCUUAGAGCUAGAAGGCUCCAUGUGGAUGUUCCUGUCUGUCCCUUCUAUGAGUGACCUUAACAUAAAGCCAUAUUCACACAGCAAGAACAGUAAGGACGGUAGACUGGAUACAAACCAAUUCAAUGUCUCUGUCCGAAUCGUCCAUCUACAAAUGUGCAAAUUGAAGACUUCAUAAUCAUAAACUGAGCUUUCAAUUUUAUAACAUUCACCAAUGGUCGGUUAAUUACCAAGAAUCUAAAAUAUGAAAUAACAAGAUCUUACUAGGAAUAAUACUUGAUCCACAUAGAUUAUAUACAAAAUUAAUAUUCUAGUUAUGGUCAAUAAAUAAACUCCCCCAAAGAGAAAGCCAAUAAGAGUCGUAUCAACAGUACUAAAAUUUCCAUGAUAAUAAAGCUAAUUUCUCAAUUUUUAGGGGUCAUUGUGGCAUGUAAGUGUAGAACUAUUUAACAAGUGAUGUUGUAAAGCAUUACUCAUUUUUUAAGACUUUUUUGUAGUAUAUUCCACAAAUCGUGCUUACAGAUAUUUGUGCUUUGUGUUUUUCGGUACAUCAAUAUUUGUGCUCUCUAGAGGACAUAAAGCAGUGGUUGUAAUUCAAAAAUGCCAGUAGAAUUUGCCUCUAGGUUCAGACAAGUUUUCUUAUCCUCCAAUGUGCAUCUCCUAUGCAGAUUACUUUUAAGCAUUUGGGCUGGGUUAUCCAUCAAACUUCUCAGAGCUAUAGAGCUUUGCCAAAAAUCUCAUAUAUAACAGUAAAGCAAGGCUGUAAAGAAGCAUAGUACAAUAAUGGGCUACUACAUUAAAAGAGCCGUUAAUGUGCAAAAAAAUGUUGGAGUUUAAGAAACGUAACAGCUCUUUACUGUGAGAUCUUUGAACCGGAUCACAGGGAAAAAAUUGUUUCUAAGAAUCAUCAAUGUAUGAAUUUGAGAACUUGAAUAAAGGAGCUAAAGAGCUUCUUGAACGGCAACUCCCACUAAUUAAGUCAUGGAUACUGUUUUUUCUUGUAAUUAGGAUAUUUUUGGAGUAUAAUGGAUUGCUUCUUCACCAUGGUUGCAACUAAUCCUCAUUUCAAACUAAGAACCUGUACGAUAGGUUCAUCCAAAGGCCACUACUUCACAUCAAAAUAGCCUACUAACCACCUAGCAUUUUACGUGCAAGAGCUGGAAGUGGACUUGUUCACUCAGGCAAAGGCCCAUCUAGAUCCAAUUUUAUGGUGCAAGAGACAUUCAAAUAUUCUUGUAUGUGCAUGAGCCUUUAAUUAUCCUGGUCUUAAUAAGUACCAAAAAUGAGUCCUCACCAUCAUCCUGUCCCAAUAAGGAAUAGGAUUAUGCCAAUUUGCACAUCAAACAGGCACAAUCAAACUGCACAUUGUCAAGCAUGAGCAGUGCAUCAGUGUUGUAGAUAAUUCGGUCGAGCAAUAUAAAAAUUUAUCACGACAACAUGUAGCCCUAUACCAUAGAGUUUCACUCCAAGCAAAGAGCUCACAAAUGAGCAUCAUGAGAAAUGUGACCAAGUCAGAUGUGACAAAGUUGCUUCUUAAAUUAGACCUUGAUUAGGAGUGGUGAUGCAACAUAUGAAGUGCACUUUAAAGCAUUGACAAAACUCUUGAACUCGUAGCUCGUGAAAUGGUACUGAUGAUUUCUUUCUCUGUGAAAUAUAGUUUCAAGACCUCUAUUAAGUCUUUGGUGUGGUGAUCACAAAACACCAUCAAAGCAAUAUCUGAAAUUUUUCCGAUUAUGUCUUUAGUUGGUCAAACCAACAUGCUAACUUUGCAUACUCUUUACUAAGUUUGCUGACCGACAAGCAAUAGAAUUUGUUUCAUAGUGAACAUGAGAAACCUUGACUGGCAGGUAUUACCAUACUAGUUAGGAACUGGUAGUUGGUGGUACUUUGUACUUAUAUCUUAGUAGCUUCCAUUCCAUCAUUCUUCAAAACUCAAUCUAAUCUUGGGUAAUGGAGGAAAGUUGGCUAGUUUUUACAAUGUAUUAUGCGGUAUAGUUCCCAAAAAUAGGAACUUUAAUUAGUUAGUUGUUUAUUUGGUUUCAAAUUUUCUCUAAGUGACAUGUAUUUUAACUUGUAAAGGCCGCACAGAAGAUUUUGAACCGAUAUCGCAUCUUUAGACAUUAACAAUUCUAAUAAUCCAAGUUGAUAAUUCUCUUUCUAAAAAAUAUUUUGCCAUUAAAGAUAAGUAAGCAUGAACCAUCUUUUUUUAUCUUUUUUUAUGUAGUUUUUUUUUUAGGUCUUGGAUCCAUCCAACCAAGCCCAGUCCCUCGUAGGCAAGAUUCAAAAUUCUAGAAAAUCAGAACAUUUUAUGAAUUGUUGGAACUCUUCUACAACUUCUUCUGUUAUGCAAGACAUACAUGCAACAUAAACCCUAGCCCUCAUGAUUGCCCUUUAUUGCCCGCGUCUAAAUUUAAAAUUUCAAUAAAUGUAGUUACCGUUGCCAGCAUUCCACAGCCGUUGGAUUCCCAUCCGAUGGACCGUCCGGACUAGUCGACCGUUGGGUUUCGAACUCCUCGUCGCUGCCCUUUUCGCUGCCAGGAGGUCAAAUCCGACCGUUAGGAGAUGACAAUUUGAAUCCCAUCUUCUCCCUAACGGUUCCAAACUUUCAAAAGCUUCUCAGGAUCUCUAACCUCUCUCCUCUCAUCCUUGAGGCUUUCUUGGCAUCUGGGUCCCCAUCCAUUUGUUCAAAUAUCUCGUUUCGUCUGUUCUUCCGAUUGUCCAAAAACUUCCUUGGAUUCUAGCCUUCCCUUAUAUUCUUUUCCCCAUCUAGAAUUUGUGUUAUCUUGCUUGAUUCCUGAGGAACGCACCGAAGGAAGAGGGAGGAGGACAGAGGUUGCCAAAAGAAAUGGCUCGGAGGGCUUCAUCUCCCGCUUCGCCGGUGACCAUAAUGGUCUCUUCUGGAGGAAAGGGAGCAGGGGAUGGGGCUGUCAGGAGGAGCAUGGGCUUGACAAGUCCAGUCCCACGCCAUUCCCUCUCCAACAACCCAAAUUCUCCAGCGGCCGCAAGGCCGACCAGCCAGGUAUCGAGCGGCGGUGGUGCGAGGUACUUUUCCACAUCCAAGGAUGAGAUCGAAGAGGUGAGCUCUGAAUUCGUCCGGUACACGGUCCACAUACCCCCAACACCCGACCACCCUGUGGCCCCGCCAUCGGAGUCUCAACCUCAAAGGAGUUAUAUCUCUGGCACCAUCUUUACCGGUGGGUUCAAUUGCGUGACCCGCGGUCAUGUCAUGGAGUGCUCAGCCGAUAGCCCCCCGACGGCGAAGUCUGAAGGAAUGCUGUGCAAGAUGAAGGGCUGCGACGGUGCCGCAUUUCUACAUGGCUCAAAGUUGCCGUGUGAGUGUGGCUUUGUGAUCUGCAAGGACUGCUAUUUGGAGUGCAUUGGGAGUGGAGGGCAGUGUCCAGGGUGCAAGGAGACCUACAGAAGUUUGAGCGAUGAGGACUCGGGGUCAGAGGCCGAGGAGCAAGCCCUACCGCUGACAUCGAUGGUGGAUUUCAGAGGGGGAAGAAGGCUUUCGAUGAUAAAAUCAACCAAAGCCCCAAAUCAGCCAGCUGAUUUUGACCAUAACCGCUGGCUUUUUGAGACAAAAGGGACAUAUGGGUAUGGGAAUGCUGUCUGGCCCAAGGAUGGGCAUGGUGGUGGAGCAGGAUUCAAGGGGUUCGAAGAGCCACCCAACUUUGGAGUAAGAAGUCGGAGGCCAUUGACGAGGAAGGUUGGGGUAUCUCAAGCAAUUCUCAGCCCAUACAGGUAAAAACCUUAGUUUUAAAGCAGAUUUUGUGAUUAAAAUUAGCUGUUACUUUUGAACUGUUCUGCUUUAAAUAAAUGGAAUAGGAAUUGUUAGUUGAAUUGAAUAUUUCGUCUUUCUUGAAUGCAUUAUUUCAUGUCAUAUGUGGGUUAUUCUAAUUAGGCAGUGGAAAUCAUUCUUUCGUAAGAAACUGUUGUAAUGUGUUCCUAUAUUUGAUGGACAGCAUCAACUUGGUGAAAAUUUGAAGGAUUAACUAUAACCUGAUACCUAAUAUAACCUAAUUUGUCUGAUUAAAUUGAGUUGCUCUGUAACUCAACCCAGAUGCAACAGCUGGUGUUUGAGAAUAUACAGCAUCAACUUAAAGAGAAUAAAAGGAGGUGAUAAUGGGGCUUAUAUUUUUAUAUUCCACGUAACCUUGCUGUAGAUUAACCUGGGAGACACUCGUUGUCGGUCAAAUUUCUGAGAACCCGGAUCUAUUAAUAAUCCUGUUGAAUCUUUAUACUUUGCUACGGUGUAUUUGGGCUUAAUGAUGAGCUCUGUCAUGAUUUAGUGCCUUGCUAUGAGGAUUUUCGGGAGCAAAGACCACUCAUCGUUUCUUGCUUUCAUCAGAAAGCCAUUCUUUAAUCCUAUAUAUAUUUUUGGGAAGGAAACAUUGUAAGCUUAUUAUAAAUAAGCUGAUUCCUAUUUCUUCGGUCAUAAUAUAAUAGAAUUUUCCACUGUAUUCAAGUGUCCGAAAAGUUUGCUCUUUUAUCCUACUACGUUCUACUUGUUACUUCUUUGGAUCCUCCAGUACAUUCUCAAAAGAAAUUGCCGUGGUUUUCUAUUCUUAUCCUCUUUCAAAAUUAUAUGCAUUUAUCAUAUGUAUGCUGUUAGUUUGGAGUGCCAUACAAACUUCAAGUAUCCAUUUAGUUGUUAAUUUCUUAUACAUUCUCUUGCAAUGCAAACAAGAAGAAAGAUAUCUUUGAUACCAUCUGAAAUGUUGUUGUUUUGAAAAAUGAGCUAACCUUUUUAGAACUUUCAACUUUCUCAGGUUGCUGAUGAUUAUUCGCCUUAUCGCCCUUGGCUUCUUUCUCGCUUGGAGGGUUCGACAUCCUAACCAUGAAGCAAUGUGGCUCUGGGGAAUGUCCGUAGCCUGCGAGCUUUGGUUUGCAUUCUCAUGGCUUCUUGACCAAUUCCCCAAGCUCAGCCCUGUUAACAGAGCAACAGACCUCUCCGUUCUGAAAGAGCGCUUUGAAUCGCCGAGCGUUCGGAACCCCAAAGGUCGAUCUGAUCUACCAGGUAUUGAUGUAUUUGUCUCCACUGCAGACCCAGAAAAAGAACCCCCUCUUGUCACUGCGAACACCAUCCUCUCCAUUCUUGCAGUAGAUUACCCUGUUGAGAAGCUAGCUUGCUACCUAUCCGAUGAUGGAGGAUCGCUUCUGACCUUCGAGGCUCUAGCUGAGACUGCAAGCUUUGCAAGGAUUUGGGUCCCCUUCUGCCGAAAACAUGACAUAGAGCCAAGAAAUCCGGAUGCCUAUUUCAGUCAGAAGCGCGACCCUCUUAAGAACAAAGUCCGGCUAGAUUUUGUUAGAGAGAGGAGGAAGGUUAAAAGAGAGUAUGAUGAAUUCAAGGUGAGGAUAAAUUCUUUGCCUGAAUCCAUUAGGAGGAGAUCCGAUGCAUACAAUGCCCAUGACGAGUUACGGGCUAAGAAGAAGCAGGAGGAAAUGGGGAGCAACCUUUCUGAACCUAUUAAGGUUGUGAAAGCUACUUGGAUGUCUGAUGGGUCACAUUGGCCUGGGACUUGGUUCUCUCCUGAAACUGAUCAUUCUAGAGGUGAUCAUGCUGGUAUAAUUCAGGUAUCCUCUCUCUUCUUGUUACUUUUAAUUGAGUAAAAUAUCAUUCUAUUGAGUUUUGCAUGCAUAGAGAAACUGAAAAUCAAAGUAUUAAGGGAUCUUACUUCAUGUUAUCUUUCACAGGCAAUGCUCGCUCCUCCGAACUCGGAACCAGUCAUGGGCACCGAGGCAAAUGAGCAUAAUCUCAUUGAUACUACUGGUGUGGACAUCAGACUGCCAAUGCUAGUCUACGUCUCUCGCGAGAAACGGCCUGGAUAUGAUCACAACAAAAAGGCUGGUGCUAUGAAUGCUCUCGUUAGAACCAGUGGUAUAAUGUCGAAUGGCCCCUUCAUUCUGAAUCUGGACUGUGAUCACUACAUCCACAAUUCCUUGGCUCUCAGAGAAGGGAUGUGCUUCAUGCUUGAUAGAGGUGGUGACAGGAUAUGUUAUGUUCAAUUCCCUCAGAGGUUUGAAGGGAUUGAUCCAAGCGACAGGUAUGCAAACCACAACUUGGUGUUUUUUGACGUCACCAUGAGGGCCAUGGAUGGAUUGCAGGGUCCGAUGUACGUUGGAACUGGCUGUAUCUUUCGGAGAACUGCUCUUUAUGGAUUUAGUCCUCCUCGUGCCACCGAACACCAUGGGUGGUUUGGAAGGAAGAAGAUUAAGCUUUUUCUAAGGAAACCAACAAUGGGGAAGAAGAGCGACCGAGAGAAUGAAAUCAUGCAGCCACCUGUAGGGGAUGAAGGGAAUGACGAAGGGGACAUUGAAUCAUCACUCCUGCCUAAGAGGUUUGGGAACUCAGCUACUUUAGUAGCUUCCAUCCCAGUUGCAGAGUACCAAGGAAGACUACUUCAAGACCUGCCUGGCGUUCGACAAGGCCGCCCUGCAGGUUCUCUUGCCGUCCCUCGAGAGCCAUUGGAUGCUGCAACUGUUGCUGAGGCAAUCAAUGUUAUAUCCUGCUACUAUGAAGACAAAACUGAAUGGGGUCAGCGAGUAGGGUGGAUUUAUGGCUCUGUGACUGAAGAUGUGGUGACUGGUUAUCGGAUGCACAACAGAGGUUGGCGGUCGGUCUACUGCGUCACCAAGCGGGAUGCCUUCAGAGGGACAGCCCCCAUCAAUCUGACAGACCGUCUGCACCAAGUCCUCCGGUGGGCUACAGGUUCUGUCGAGAUCUUCUUCUCUCGAAACAAUGCGCUCUUUGCCACAAGGAGGAUGAAGCUCUUGCAGAGGGUGGCCUAUUUCAAUGUGGGAAUGUAUCCCUUCACAUCGAUCUUUCUACUGGUAUACUGCAUCCUACCAGCUGUUUCUCUCUUCUCAGGCCAAUUCAUAGUUCAAACUCUAAGCAUAACUUUUCUGAUAUUCCUGCUGGCCAUUACUAUAACACUCUGCUUGCUUGCAUUGCUGGAGAUAAAAUGGUCUGGGAUAACAUUGCAUGAGUGGUGGAGGAAUGAGCAGUUCUGGUUGAUUGGAGGGACUAGUGCUCACCCAGCAGCAGUGCUACAAGGGUUGCUGAAGGUUAUUGCCGGAGUUGAUAUUUCUUUUACUCUAACAUCAAAGUCUGCAACCGAUGACAAUGACGAGGUGUAUGCGGAGCUCUACGAGGUCAAGUGGAGCUUCCUGAUGGUUCCCCCAAUCACAAUUAUGAUGAUCAACAUGAUAGCUAUCGCAGUAGGGGUGGCAAGGACGAUGUACAGUGAAUUCCCUCAGUGGAGCAAGCUCCUUGGAGGGGUGUUCUUUAGCUUCUGGGUGCUGUGCCAUCUUUACCCAUUUGCUAAAGGGUUGAUGGGAAGGAGGGGAAAGGUGCCAACAAUUGUGUUCAUGUGGUCGGGCCUGCUCUCGAUCGUCAUCUCUUUGCUUUGGGUGUACAUUAGCCCUCCUAAAGGAAGUGGGAAGGACUACAUGAACUUCCAGUUCCCAUGAGGAGAACAGAAGGCAGCAGGAGAAUUCAUUAAAUUGUUCCAAAUCCAUGAAAGGACCAUGUAUACUUCAUUGCUCAAGUCCCAUCCCGAGUAGAAGUUUUACAUAUAUACAUGAUGAUCUAGUUCAUGUAAUGUUGCUCAUACUUCUUUGUGUAUCUUGUUAGUUUCUAUUAAUUUUCUUCUUGGUUUGUUUCAAAUGUCUUAAAAUUUUUGUUCUUCUAUGAUGGAAUUUUUAAGCAUCUUGAAAAUGAAAACUAUGCAGUGUCCAUUUUCCUUGUGUUUGAUUAAUUCAUCUUCUUGAAAUUAGUUGGCAUGAGUGACAAGUUUGAAUAGGCCAUGAAAAGAAGAUUUCUGGAUGCAUGAAGUUGCUCAGUUGGAUGGUGCCAAGUUGGGACCUCAAAUCACACAAUUCUGUGAACAGCACCUCUUCUGGUGAUUUUGAUAAUGUGUAGCUCCCGUGUCCAACAUCCCACCUUUCAAGCCUUGCAGCUGAGUUGUUUAUCCUACAAAAGCCUAUGAACACUGUUCUCAAUGAUCUGCAUGUUGCCAAGAUGUUGGGUGGUCACGGUGUCCUUGUGAUAUCUCCUGCGUUGUAGGAAUCGACUGAGCACAAGGGAUUGGAAAAGGGCCAUCGUCCUCACAAUCCCAUGACUUCAUUUGGGCGACAUGCAUAACUGCAGUUCAUACCAGAAGUAAUACAUCUGUCAUUCAGAGUGUGAGAGUUGGUGGUGUCCUCUAUGCAGAUCCUUCAUGACUUGCCUUUUACUUAAUCAAACAAAUAUCAUUUAGAUCGACACUUCAUUUAUUGUGUGUCUUGUUAUUAAUCUAAUUCAUGCUUUCCUGAGAGUGCCAUGAUCUUCGAAGUGCAAAUCCACAGCAGUGUUUGCUGUGAUGUCGUGUGGUUCGCAUUAAUCCACUUAUAUUGUGCAUCAAGUUCACAUUCAUAAAUUUCUACAUGGCAUCAAGCACAAAUUCAUAUAAUUCCGCAUUGCAUCAAGUAAAUCCAAGAUGAUGCACAAUUGCACAACUUGAAGAGUGGCAAAUGAGAUGCUCAUAUAAAAAUAUGACCAUCGAACCGUCCCAAACCAAGCUAAGUGGUUACCAGGGCAGUUCAACUUGUCGAUCUUCCUCUCUCUCUCUCUCUCUCUCACUCUCUUAAUUUUUUUUAAUAAAAGUCUCUCCACCUUCACUUGGUGUGAGAGAAAUUCUUGGAUAAAUUUAGCCUGCUAGAUAAAGCCAAUGAAAAAUGCCACAUUAGUAUUUUGUAUUUAAGAAUUUUAUAAUCACAUCAAUACAUCAUUGUUUAACCUUGUAACCAUCUUAAUAUAUUAUUGUUUAACCACUCAAUACACCGUUGUAUGCUAUUGUGGCAUUUUUUCGUUGGAUUUGUCUAUAGCAUAUGUAGUAAACCAAGUCUACCUAAAAAUUUCUCCAGGCUCUCGAUCCCUUCCCCCCCUUCCCUCCACCAUCGCGGCCACCAUCUAGUCUCCACCACCUCCAACCCGGUGUUCCCCUUAGAUUGGCACCUCUGUCAGAUUAGGUGAGUCCCCUUUUUCUCUCCUCCCUCUCUCUCCUUCUCUUUGGUUUCCUUAUGUAUUGGGUUGGCACAGUAUGUACUGCUAUCAUGCUAAACCAUUCCUCGGCUAGUAAAAUCUAGGAUACUAGUUUACUAAAGUUUUUGUACAACGAAGGGAGAGAAUAAGAGAGAAGAGAAGAUGUUCCAUCAUGUCCUCCGCAUUAUCCCAUUGCUCUAAAAUGCUCUCUUCCGAGCAACAACAUUUUCUGCCUUUCUAAAGAGCAAAAAAAUUGAUCGCAUCUUCCGAACUCCCUCGAUCAUGGCAUCCUCACUUUUUCGUUCUCCUUUUUACGUAACAAACCACAAGAAUAGAUACAGAAAUAAAAGAAACUCAUGAAUGGGUAUUGCAUUUUGUUACCACCAGUCCCUCCAUUCCCCAGCGAAUCUAUAUAUUUUGGGUCAUGACAAAACCAUCGAUGGGAAGUAUCUCAACAACCCCAAGUUCAAGUAAGAAAUUGCUACUCACUCUUCAUCUUCACCUAGCUCAAUUUUGUCAUCAUUAUCAUUUUUUUUUAAUUUCUCUUAUUUAUUUCAUCCCAUCAUUGGUAGAUUCUUCAUGCAUGGGAAACUUCGUAUUUAAGGAUUGUAGUUUAAAUUCGGCGGGCUUGCUUCUUUGUUCCAUAACACGGAUUUUUGAAUCCCGAAAAGAGGUGACAAGACAAAUCUAGUAGAAGUACGAAAGUUCAGAUAUUAAAAUAAGAGAGAUUAUUUCCCCAAGCCAAAAGGGGUCGAUCGAAGGCGUUCUUACAAAUAUAUACAAUUAAUGAAAAUGCAGCGUAAAUCUUUCCCCAAGCCAAAAAAAAAAAAAAACUCUCUAAAACUUUUGAACCCCCGUUUUCAAGGGAUAAAAAAAUUUUAGAAAAAUGAAAAUAAAGUCGGAAGAACAACAGGACGAGGACGCGAUUGAUGCAUUCGAGCAACGUUCUUCGCACCGAAGUGCUUCUUGGCCCUUGGCGCUCCUCCGCUACCACCUCUCACCCGUGACCAAACGACCCGGUUUAUCACUCGCAUGCAGGAAUCCUUGAUCCGAAUCGCCAUCCCCCGGCACUGCCCCCCGCCUCCCAACUUCACCCACCGGUAUUUUCUCUUCCGGUUUCGUUGUUGGAAAUGCGGGCCGUUGGAGCCCUUAUCGGCACCCCUCGCCCGCCAGUACCCCUGUAGGCCUCCUCUUCCCCUGCCAACGCCGCCACCGCCACCGGUUCGGACCUCCAUCUCGCCAGUGGACUACUCCUCACGUCCGAGGUGGUGGUAGCAGAGAUAGGGAGAGAUGGAGUGGCAUGCAACCGGAUUGGAGGGAAGGGAGAGUAUUUAUAGGGGGAGGAAGAAGGGGAUUCCCUCCCCCCCCCCUCCUUUUUUUCAGGGAGUUGCCAUUUAUUCUUUUCCAUGCAAUGUUGGCCUCUCCUUUGUUCCCUCAUUAUUUGCAGGUACACUUUCCACUUCUUUAUGAACUUUCUAAUGUCAUUAUAAUGGUCAAUAAUAAUCUUUCAAAGUUUUCUUGUUAUGUACAUGAUGUGCAAAUUGGUGGAGAAUUUUUUCCAUAAUGUGUGGUCCAUAGGUACCUAUAGUUUCUGUCAUAGUUACUUUAUUUUCUAUUUUGGUCAAAAUAAAAGGCCAUGAAUUAGAAUAUCUAUUUGCCAUAAAAGUGUCUUUGUAGAUAAAUUUGCCCUAUUUAAUGUUUAAAAGGAAUUGUUUCAAAAAUGCUAUGUGUUUAUAACAAAUUGUCGAAAAUCAAAUCUCAAUAGUAAGAGGGAGUUCUUCCAACUAUGGAUAAUCAUAUAAUGACAAUACAAAGUUAUAAAAUGACAAAAUAAAGAAACGUAAUUGCAACCAUGAUAAAAAGUUAAUCAAAUUUCGCAUCAAACAUAGUACUCUUUCAAGAAUGGAAAAAUGCUAUGAUUGGAAGGUGAUUUAGCUUGUUUCCAGCAAUAUUGUCUCAGCAUUAUGUUAUUGAGAGGAGAUGAAUCGCAAAUGCAAUCGAUUGUGAGCCACCCAUUGCUAAUAGAAGUGAAUAUCAAAUUUCAGUUUAUGGUAUCGGACAUAAUGCCUGAACCUUCUAUUUUUUUCACGACUCCAAUUUUCUUUUCAAUACCAUGACCCACAGAAUAUGCCUCUAUUUUUUUGUUUUCCUCUUAGGAAUGCAGGAUUUAGUUUGAUUGUAUACAUCGUAAAUUUCUUUUUUUUUUUUCUUUUGUUUCUAGAAAUAGAAAAAUAGUAUUGGGAUAAAGAAAUUAGAAGUUUGCUGCAUUUUUAUUAUUUUUAAUAGAAACAGCUUCCAAAAUUUGGAAGUUCCAAAAAUCAGCUUUUGGGGAAAAAAAAGGCAACACAAUAAAACAGGCACAUUUGUAUUAGAUUGUUGCGUCUAUGUAUGAGUACCUGGCUUAUAGAGAUAAUGAGUUCCAUAUCAGGUUAUCUCUAGAGUUGAUCUUUCUUUUAUUUUUACAAUCUAUUAGAGUGAUCAAUUGCCCAAAUACUAAACAAAAAAAUGAUUUAAUUCCAUUUUGAAAUAAAGUUUGUGAAUAAAGCUAAUUGUGGGCAGAAAUUGGAUGCACCAGCUCCAAGUGAACCGGGGAAAUCUUGGAGCACAUGCAUGCCAAAUAGCUUGCAAUCGAGAAUCGGUAAAAUACAAUGGUUAACGUGGCUUGUUAUCCAACCUGGGAUUUGGCAUGGUCCAAUUACAGCUGAUGCACAUGAUAUGUAGAUCAUUUUUUUUGAAGGGAUGGAAAAUAGCAUAAUUUUUUUUCAAAAAUAAGUGGUGGACAUGAGAAUAAGUAUUAAUCAAAUGGAUCAAAAAAAUAUAAUCAAUUUUUAUAUGAGAAAUGGGCUCAAAUCCAAAUUAAAUCACUUUAAAUAUUGUGUUCAGUCUGAUUCAAAUCUCUAAUAGAUAAUACAUAGAGAUAUUACUAAAAUCCGAUAAUGCUAAUUUCAUCCAACAAGAUGAAAAUGCCUCAAUUAACUCUAUGGGCCAGUGCUAAUAUAAAUACAAGACACCUCUACAUGAGCCAUAUUAAAAUUGUGAAGAUGAAUCUAACUAAGCUUAAGUAAGGAUAUAUCUUAUCCUUAUGAAUAUAACUAUGUAACUUAAUUGUAAAUGAACCAUAAAAUUAAAGAGAAUAUAAAAAUUUUAUUUUUGUCAAUUCUUGUAUCUUUUUCUCUUUUCCUAAUUGGAUCAUAGGAUUCCUUUAGCAAAAAGUUAGAUGCCUCAUUUGCUCUAUAUCUUAUAUAAAUCUAUGUUAUGAUAGUGGAUUAAAUGUCAUAAUUUUUUCUAUAGAGGUAGAAUAUAAUUUUUCAUAUAGUGGAUUAAAAAUUACACUAUAGAGGUAAAAUAUAUUUUUUUAUUUUNNNNNNNNNNNNNNNNNNNNNNNNNNNNNNNNNNNNNNNNNNNNNNNNNNNNNNNNNNNNNNNNNNNNNNNNNNNNNNNNNNNNNNNNNNNNNNNNNNNNNNNNNNNNNNNNNNNNNNNNNNNNNNNNNNNNNNNNNNNNNNNNNNNNNNNNNNNNNNNNNNNNNNNNNNNNNNNNNNNNNNNNNNNNNNNNNNNNNNNNNNNNNNNNNNNNNNNNNNNNNNNNNNNNNNNNNNNNNNNNNNNNNNNNNNNNNNNNNNNNAUCAUUAGAAUAUCGUCAUAAAAGAUCAUUUCGAUCCGGCAGCCCUAGGUAUGUCGAUUAUUAAAAUUUGAUUUUGACGGUCACGAGCGAUCAUGUGAUGAUCUGAUAGAUAGAGACCAUCGAUGGAUCCAAAAACUUGCAACGAUGAUCUCGAUGAUAUUUGUAUUACACUAUCAAAAUUUUACUUCAAUCAGACAACAUUAUCAUGAUCAAUUUAGCACGGGAUAAUUAGAGCUGUUAAAUAAAAAAUGAGUAAUCAAAAGAUCAAACGGCAUCUGAUUAUAGGAUAAUUUUUUAGAUAAAUGAUCUUUGCUAUUACUUUGAUCAUUUGAUGAUCGUAAAAUUCAAACCGUGCAUAUAUAAAUGAUUCAAAACUAUAUGUCUCUUGAUUCUCAUUUUUAAAGUCUUUAAGUAAUUAUACUUAUACUUUUGUAAGAUUUGCUUAACAUGAAUGAUCCAUAUAUGUGCAGUUUGAAUUUUAUGAUUAUCAUCAUACAAAUGAUCAAAGUAGUAGUAAAGAUCAUUUAUCUAAAAAAUCAUCUUAAUUGAAUGUCGUUUAGUCUUUUGAUCACUCAUUUUUUAUUUAACGACAGAAAUCAUUCCGUAUUAAUUGAUCAUGAUAAUGAUAUCCGAUUAAAAUAAAAUUUUUAUAGUAUACUACAAAUAUUACUAACAUUGUUGUAAUCUAUCGAUGGUCUCUAUCUUUUAGAUCAUCACAUAGUCAUUCAUGACCGUCGAAAUUAAAUUUUAUUGAUCGACAUAGUUAGAGCUAACGGAUUGAGGUGAUCUUCUGUAACAAUACUCUAACGAUAAUUAUUUAGAUAAUGAACGGUGAAGAUGGACAUUAAAUUCUAAAAUUAUACUAUAAAGAUNNNNNNNNNNNNNNNNNNNNCUAACGGUAUGAGGUGAUCUUCUGUAACAAUACUCUAACGAUAAUUAUUUAGAUAAUGAACGGUGAAGAUGGACAUUAAAUUCUAAAAUUAUACUAUAAAGAUAAUUUUUUUCUAUUUUUCUCUGAAUAUAAUAUAAUUUUAGAAUUUAAAGCUCAUGUUCACCGUUCAUUAUCUAAAUAAUUAUCGUUAGAGCAUCGUCACAAAAGAUCGCCUCGAUCCGAUAGCCCUAGGUAUAUCGAUCAUUAAAAUUUGAUUUUGAUGGCCACGAACGGCCGUGUGAUGAUCCUCAUUUGCUUUGUGUUUUAUAUGAAUGCAUGUUAUGAUAGUAGGUUAAAUGCCUCAAUUUUUCAUAUCGUCACUAUUAUGUCGUCACUAAUACUCUCAAUUCUUAUAGUGCCUACAAGUCACAUUUGCUUGAUACUAAAUUUCAAUAUCACUUAAAGAUUUCUAAGGAAAAAUUUUUCUUUAAUAUAAUUUUUUUAAUUUAAAAAAAUCUUAACAGCACCAAGGGAUUCAUCCCUUAGUAAAUCUUUAAGGGAUAACUUUUCUUACAAAUCUCUCGAUGAAAAUUAUUGAAGUAAUCACUUACUGAUCCCUUGCAAACUACCGAGACAUUUCUAAGGGAUUUACUGAGGGCAAUAAAUCCUCGCAACUCGCUUAAAGAUUUCUCAAUGAAACUAGAUUUUGAAAGCAACUUAACAUCCCUUGAAAAUUCCUUUCUAAUCCCUCAGUGAUUUUCUGAGGGAUAGAUCCCUUGAUGAUAUCUCUCGCUAAAAGGCUGAUUUUUGAUAGUGAAAAUUGUGUUCAUAUCCAUCCAAUGAUCUUUUUAAUAUAACUUUAGUAUGACUUUAUUUAUUUGAUAAUUAAAUAUGAAUAGUAUUUGACAAAUAAUUGAUAAAGUUAUGAAGAAUAAUUCAAAUGAGGAUUAUGGUGGAUAUUGGGCCUCCUCAAAGCAGUGGCUAAUCUAGAAUUAAAAGUUCUGAUAUGGUUUUGACCAAAUUGGAUGGUAAGGAAGAAAUUUGCAGCCAAAAAGUAUUAAAAAAGAAAUUUGCAACUAAAAGGCUUGCUUGCCUUAACUAUGAAAAUAUACUUAUAUACACUUUGUAUGAGAUCAACAUCCCUACAUCAAAAGGAUCAUCAAAGAAAUGAUAUGAUUCAUAUAAUAAAAGUAUCUAUAAAUAUAUAUAUAUAGUUAGCAAAAUUAGGAAAUGAUUUCCAUCACAUGCGAUUGGUCAUGUCCACCAAAUCUAGUUAUAUGGUUGGCUGAGGAAAUCAAAGAAUGAUUUUCAUGAUAUAUGAUUAUGUAGCUACGUAUCUCUAUCUAAUUUGGUGCCAAAAGAAUCAUGGUAUGAUUUCUAUUAUAGCUAUCAAGAUCUAUCUAAUCUAAUGCCAAGAGAAUCAAAAUUUGAUUCCCAUCACUCUCCCUCAAAUUAGUGUGUGGAGGUCUAUAAUGCCCAACUUGCCAACAACAAGAUGGAAUACUUCUUUACUAGGGGUGAAAGUAGUUUGGAUAUUAUCCGUCCGAAUCUAUUUUCGUAUCCGAAUAAUCCAGAUAUAGAUAAAAUUUAAGGAUCUGACUAAUAUCUGUAUCUGUAUUCAAAUAUCUAAAUUAAAAUAUAAUUCUAUAUAAUUUUAUAUAGUAUUUACUGAUUUUUAAGAAAAAAUACAAUCAUAUAAAUAUAUUAUUAAUUUGAUUCAUCAUUUAUUUAGUAAUAUCUUUGAUUCUGUUGUUAUAAAGUUAGAUUAUCUAAGUUAUAUCUGUAAUUAUAUCCAUACUUUCAGUAUCCGUAUCCGUUUAAAAUAAAUAUGGAUAUGAAUUUUUGCAUUUGAAUAAUAUUUGUAUCUAUAUUUGUAUUCAUCAGAAAAAAUAAUAUGGAUAUGGAUAUAGUGGUAUCCGAACCAUAUCCGAUCCAGUUUCAACCCUAUUCUCUAUCGAAGACUUUGGUGAAAACAUGGGCUAACUGGUGAGUGAAAAUAAACUUCGUAUGGAGUAGGUUACGCUGAAUUUUCUCAUGGAUGAAAUGACAAUUCAAUUUGAUGUACUUCAUGCAUUUAUAGAAUAUGAGAUCGGCAGCAAUAUAAAAAGCAGUUUUAUCAUUGUAGUAUAAUAGAAUAGAUGUAGAAUACGUGAAACCUAGAUCAUAGGGCAAGUAUUUUAAUCAUUGCAUCUUAUAGGCCCUUGUAACCAUGGCACAAUACUCACUUUAGCCAAGGAGUGUGAGACGAUAACUUAUUUCUUUAUCUUCUAAGAAAUAGUAGAACAAUUAAGAAAAAUAUAAAAUUCAGUAAUAAGUCAUCGAGUCAUGGGCAGCUGGCCCAGCCUAAAUCAUAAUGAGCUAUGAGAUGGAGAGAGCUAGAAGAAAAAAGAAGAAUGCCUUAGCCAUGGGUGUCUUGAAAAUAGCAAAGCAAGCAAAAGGCGGCAUCAAGGUAAGAUUUGCAAUGUUAAUGUAUAAAUUAACUAAGAAUAUGGACUAAGUAAAAAAUAUCAAGCCGAAUAACCAUAAGGUAUAUGAGAAGGCCAAUGAGGCAGUGGUAUGAAGAAAGAUCAUCAAGCGACUAGCCAUCAAAGUCUAUGAGCUUUAGAUGUUGCUCCAUAGGAGUCUUAACAGUUCCGACACUCAAAAGAUCCAUAUCUUUUAGAAUUUCUAAAGUAUAUUUUCAUUGUGAAAGAUAGAUGCCUUUAGAAGAUUGACUAAUCUUCAUGCCCAAAAAAUAUUAAAAGGUCCUAAUGUUGGGUUUGGCAUCUCGAAUUCGAUCCACAGCCAAGAAGCCACCCAAGAUAGAGAAGCCCAGCAGACCAAGCCUGCAAAUGCAAGCGCGCAGGCCUGCAGACCUAUAGGCUCAAGUUGUGGGGGCCCAGGCCCACUGGCACCCAUGGCUCGCAGGCGCAUAGCGGGCCUGCAGCGUGCGUGGCCAGCAGUGUGCAACCCAGCAUGUCGCACGGUCCACCUAGGAGACCACUUCACUUGGUCCACGCACAAGAAUACACAAUCCGAUGGCUGAGGAUGCGAUCAUGAGCUAUUUUGCACCAUCGAAUGGCCAGGAACAUGUGCAGGGGCGAUCCAAUGGCCAAAAUGAGUUUUUUGAGUCCCAACAGGAGAUUGGAUUCGAUUAGGACUCAAUUUGGGCUCUUUAAAAGCGGCAGACAGGCUGGAAAGAGCGUGUAGCGGCUUGUAGUGGCCAAAGAGCCUUCUUGAGGAUUUUUGAGGGUUUUUUGAGAGUUUUUUGUAAGAAUUUUUUGUGCCUCUUGUUGAGAGAGAGAUUGAUGUAUGAGGAUUGAGAGGGUUUGAUCUCCUCUUGUAUUUAUUCUUUCUUUCAUAGUAAAGUUUGCAUGUCCUGUGGCGGUAAGAUUUAGGCGGAUCUACAUAUUUGAUUGUGUCUUUGUAUACUUCUCUUCUUUCUUCCUAUUGCGGUAUCGACAUCGUCACCAACAAUUACGAUCUUGGGUGGGGGAUCCAUAUUCCACACUCGUGAGGGAUCCUUCCCAACAAGUGAUAUCAAAGCACUCGAUUGCCCAGGUUGUGACGGUAUUGAUCGAGGUUGAAGAAGAUGGAGAAAACAGGCUCAAUCAAGAUAGAGAUCAAUCGGUAUGAUAGGAAGAGCAAUUUCUCCCUAUGAUAGUAAGGAUGAAGGAUGUGCUCAUCCAACAAAAGUUGAUUAAUACUCUCUUAUGCAAGGAGAAACAGACUACCAUGGAGGAGAAAGAUUGGAGGUAGCUCCGGAUGCAGGCGAUAAGUACUAUCCACUUGUACUUGAUAGAUGAUGUGGUGAUUCAUAUGCUUAGUGAAACUUCUCCGAUGGCGAUAUAGAUGAAGCUCGGAGAGAUGUACAUGGCGAAGUUACUUAUCAACACUCUCUUCUUUUAGAAGUAGUUCUACCAACUGUAGAUGAGCAUGGAAUAGAGUGUGUAGGAGUAUCUCAGCAACUUUCAGAAGAUCCUCACUGAUCUCCCCUCAAUGUUAGCAAGAAGGUUGAGAAGAAGAUCAGGACAUUGGUUUUGCUUUCAUCGCUUUUCUCUUCUUUUGAGUUUUUGAUGACUGCUCUUCUUAUGGAGAAAAAUACCAUCAAGAUAGAUGAGGUCACUUCUGUAUUUCUCCAAAAUGAGGUUCUCAAACGGAAGAAUCGAGCUUCGAGUUUAGAUGAUGACUCAACUAUGGUGAUGACCGAAAGAGGUGGUAGCAGAGGAUGAAGGGGCAGAGGAUUGCAAAGUAGGUGGUCCAAAUCCAAGUCAAGGGACUACAGCAAGAUUCAAUGUUACAGGUGUAAUGAGUUGAGACAUCGAGUUAGAGAUUGUCCAUAGCUCAAAAAUCGGACGAAGGCUACUAUAAAGGCAGUCCAAGGUAGUGAUAUAGAAGAAAGUGAUGAUGUUUUUCUGGUGUUUGAUAAGAUAUCUACUUCUUUCACACAGUAAAUUUUACAUUCUGCAUGUUUGUAUCAUAUUUGUUGCAGAGAGAAGCUAUUUGUCUCCCUAAAAAGCAAUGAGAGCACUAUUCAUUUGUCAGAUGGAUCGAGCUAUGCGAUCAAGGAUAUUAAGACUGUCAGUGUACAGACUUAUGAUGGAGCAGUGAAGAAAUUGGAUGAAGUCCGAUACAUACCAAGCUUCAGGAGUAAUCUGAUUUUAUUAAGCUAAUGACAGAAUCCUAAAAGUUUUGCACAUCAGUAGGGUUGUGUUGAAGGAAAAGAGAUAUUAAAAAUAUUAUCUCUUGGCAGGGAGCUCAGUACGAGGUGAAACUUCAGGAGCCAGUGGGAGCUUAGAAUGAGGUAGAGCUCUAGGUACAGAUAGUUGGGCACAAGAUAAAAAACUCAGGAGGAUGACAUGUGACAUCACAGGGUGAAGUUUCUAUUAUCGCGAGAAGCUGCCCCGAGCAGAUCUCAGAUCAGAUAGAUCACAGCAUAUGACAAAGAUGAGAUCGAGCGACCUAGCUCGACUCAUGUUUGUCCAUCUAUAAGCAGCCAGACAUUUAUCCUAAGGCAUGAGGACGAGAUCAUCUAAAAGCUCUCAAAGUUAUGUGGAGGCUGAAUAUCGAGUUGAAGUGAAGAUUAUUGGAUUUUGAUGCAUCAAAUUCGAUCCACAGCAGAGAAGUCCAAGAUGGAGAAGCACAGCAGAUCAGGCCCACAAGCACAGGCCGUAGGGUCGGCCUAUGGGCGUGCAGGCCUGCCAGCACACACGGCCAGUAGGUGCAUGGGCGCCUGCAAUGCGAAUGGCCCAGAGUAGAGACUAUGGCAUGCGUGGCCCAUAGCACAGUGCCCAGCAUGUCGCAUGGUCCAGGAGAUCGCUUCACACAGUCCAUGUGUGGGAAUGCACAAUCCGACAGCUGAGGGCACGAUCGUGAGCUAUUUUACGUGAUCGAAUGAUCAGGAAUGCAUGCAGGGGUGAUCAAACGGCUGCAAGGAGUUUUUUGAGUCCCAACAAGAGACUGGAUUCAACUAGAACUUGAUUUGGGCCCUUUAAAAAGAGCAGACGGGCUAGGAAGAGCGUGUAGUGGCUUGUAGUGACUAGAGAGCUUUCUUGAGGAUUUUUUGAGAGCCUUUUGUGAGAGUUUUUUGUGCUUUUUGUUGAAAGAGAUAUUGAUAUAUGAGGGUUGAAAGGGUUUGAUCUCUUCUUGUAUUUAUUUUUUUUCUAUAGUGAAGCUUGCAUAGUCCAUAAAAGUAAGCUUUGGAUUGAUCCAUGUAUUUGUUUGUUUUUAUAUAUCUCUCUUCUUCCUUCCUGUUGUGACAUCGACAUCGACACCAGCAAUUGCCAUCUUAGAUGGAGAAUCUAUAUUCCGCACUCGUGAGAGAUCCUUCCCAAUAUCCAAAUCUUUAAUGUAAAAUUUGGAGAGGAGAUAGACUUAAGAGUAUCAAUAACCAUAGUAUUAUUACCGAUUAAGAUAAUAUCAUCAAUAUGAGCUAUAAUGAAGAGUUGGGAAUUACCUCAAAUAUAAAAGAAAAUGAAAUAAUCAGCAUAAGAUUGAAUGAAGCCAACAUCAAGCAAGGCUUGAGAGAACUUCUGAAACUAAUUUCUGCCAGCUUGUUUGAGACCACCAAUGACUUGUUCAUUUUACAAACUUGAUUCUCUCCCAGGUGAGAUAAAUUGAUGGAAUUUUUACAUGGACUACUUCGGAGAGUUUCCAUAUAAGAAUAUAUUAUUAACAUCAAAUUGAUGAAGAUUCCAAUCAUGAAUAAUGACAAUAGCAAGCAAGCAACUAACUAUGAUAAUUGUUACAAUUGGGGCAAAAGUCUUAUGGUAGUCAAUGCCUUUCUACUAUAUAAACCCCUUAGCCACAAGCCUGAUCGUAUAUCGCUCUACAGCACCAUUAGAUUUGUAUUUGACCUUAUACAUCUAUUUGCACCCCAUAGAUUAUUUUCCUAGAGAAAGAGGUAAUAGUAUCUAGACACUAUUUGCCUCAAGGACAUAAAUUUUUUUCUUCAUAGCCUCUCGAUAUUGAGGAGAUUUAAGAGCCUGCAAAAAGUUCUAGGUUCAGGAAUAAAAUUAAAAAUAACUAGAAAAGCAUGAUAAGAGGAGGUAAACUUAUCAUAUAUCAAAUAGUUGGAGAAUGGAAAAGAUAUAACUUAGGAUGAAAACACCGAAAAUGAGGAUCGUUGGUGUCAGAGUUUAGAGGUGGUAGCAGUGGAGCAGUAAUAAUCCUUUAGAUAUGUAGGUCACUUGGUCAGCUGAAUAAAAUGAUAUAGGGGUUGGUUUAAUGUCACUAGAUGAUGUAGGAGGUGAUUUGGAGAAGAUGAUAGGUAUGAGGUUAAUGGGCAUAGGUGCAGUAGAGGAAAACUCAUGGUUAGAGGAUGAAAUCAUACUGUUAUGUAGAAUAGUGGAGUAGAUAGGAGGUACUGGUACAGAUAAAGUAGGGUCAAGGAAAAAAAUAUUUGCAGGAGCAGGUCGGACUGGGUUAGGAAAAAGAGAACUUAGUGGAAUAUAUUGGAAAAAAAAAUAUUUUUAAAGAAAUAGAUAUUUCUACUUGUGAAUAUUUAUUUUGUUUAGAUAUGAUAUAUCUGAUAGCAUUUUUGUCUAAAAGAAUAACCUAUAAAAAUAUCAGGAAUAGCAUGAGCUUCAGAUUUAUGGUUCGUAUGGAUGUUACAGGCAAAACAUAGAUAACCAAAAAUCCUAUAGUGAGCAUAACUAAGUCGAGUACUAAACAAACUUUUAUAUAAAGAACGGUUGGACUAAAUUAGAGAGGGAAUGCGAUUAACCAAGUAAAUUGCUGUAAGAACGUAAAUGCCUUAAAAAUCAAAAGGAAGGUGGACCUAACAUUGCAAUACACGGGUAAUUCAAGUCAAAGUGUAUAUUUGCAUUCACCAACCUCACUUUGUUGGGGUAUCCCAACACAAUUAUAUUCAUAAAUGAUGUCCUCAAGGCGUCGAAAAUGUAAAGUUCAUGAUGGAAAAAUUCAGAGCCAUGAUCAAUUUUGUUCAUUUAAUAUAGGCGUUAUGCUGGAUUUUAACAAAUGAGGUGAAAGUUUAGAUAUAAUAUUGAUAUUGAGAUUUAUAUUGCAUUAAAUGCAUAUGUCGGCCUAAUUUGGUAUCGAGAGGAUUAAGAUAUGAUUUUCAUUAUAGCUGCCCAUAUUUGCUUAUGUGCCGACAAAAUCAAGAUAUGAUUCCCAUCAUUGGUAAAUGAUGAUAAUGUGAUUGGAAAAAUAGUUUUGAAGAAAAAAGUUUGACUAUUUAGCAUAAUUCAAAAGGUUACAAGGUGGUGGGUUAGUGAAUUAUAUAUAACUCUGCAAACUAAGUCGAACCUUUUCCUUUUUUUUUUUUUUUUNUUUUUUUNUUUUUUUUUUUUUUUUUUUAUUUUUUAUUUUUUACUUUU
rnacentral:lncRNA from 1 species